GUUUCAUCGAAUCCCAAAAUUUUCGCUCUUUGAAUGUUUAUGGCUUUGAUUACCAGAUUUCGACAGUAUAGUAAUCUUUCAAUACUCAAUACUAUUUUCUUAUUCUUUUUCGAUUCAACGCCAUUUGAUUUACGGCGCAUAUGCGAUGGAUAUCCAGAACGAAGAAGUCGGAAGAAUUAAUCCAGAUUUGGUACAAAGGCAUUGGAUAAGGGGGGCCACAAGGUUACAGUGUUGAAAAAUUGGGUUCGACGAAUUCCGCCAUGGAUAGCAAGAAAGUUGAAGAUUGGUUGGUUGGAGCUCUGGUUUGGUUGAGUUGGUCGAAGAACUCGAAGUCCGGUGGUGAUGGCGGGGUUGGAGAUUCUCCCAAUUCCAUAUCGAAGAGGUCUGUGAAGAAGUGGUCGAGGAGGUUGAAUUGGGUCUCACAUUGUAGGUGAAAUUGUGAUUUGGCAGCCGCGAAGCAGUGAAGCUUGAGUGGGAGAGAAUGUGGGGUAGUUUGAUGGCCUGCUAAUGUUCAACACGUUCAAAACAAUGUACCCUAUGUUCAUCAAAUAUAUGAACUUUUUUUU